rnacentral:rRNA from 1 species
UCUUGGUCAUUUAGAGGAAGUAAAAGUCGUAACAAGGUCUCCGUAGUGAACCUGCGGAGGGAUCAUUACACAAAUAUGAAGGCGGGCUGGAACCUCUCGGGGUUACAGCCUUGCUGAAUUAUUCACCCUUGUCUUUUGCGUACUUCUUGUUUCCUUGGUGGGUUCGCCCACCACUAGGACAAACAUAAACCUUUUGUAAUUGCAAUCAGCGUCAGUAACAAAUUAAUAAUUACAACUUUCAACAACGGAUCUCUUGGUUCUGGCAUCGAUGAAGAACGCAGCGAAAUGCGAUAAGUAGUGUGAAUUGCAGAAUUCAGUGAAUCAUCGAAUCUUUGAACGCACAUUGCGCCCUUUGGUAUUCCAAAGGGCAUGCCUGUUCGAGCGUCAUUUGUACCCUCAAGCUUUGCUUGGUGUUGGGCGUCUUGUCUCUAGCUUUGCUGGAGACUCGCCUUAAAGUAAUUGGCAGCCGGCCUACUGGUUUCGGAGCGCAGCACAAGUCGCACUCUCUAUCAGCAAAGGUCUAGCAUCCAUUAAGCCUUUUUUUCAACUUUUGACCUCGGAUCAGGUAGGGAUACCCGCUGAACUUAAGCAUAUCAAUAAGCGGAGG